AACAGAAACAUCACAAUGGAUGAGGGCUGCAACCAGACCUCACAGGAGGGGAUGUUGGACAGGACUGACCAUCCAAGGCCUUGAAUGACAGAAAGACUGAUCAGGAAGGCAAGAAGGAGCUGCUGCCUGUUCCAGGGCGACCAGCCACCAAAGUUUGAAAGCAGCAACUCAGGAAGAUUAAAGAGAUAACCUGUACAGAACAGAAGGUGAACAGACCCAGCACAGUGGGUGGUUGAGUUCAGAGCAUGGAUUCCAGAGUCAGACUUCUGGGGUUCAAAUCCAACUCCCGGCAAGCCCUUCACCUUCUCUGUGUGGGAUUCGGCAUCUAGUUCAUCUUAUCAAAAUAAACAGGGCAUGUCUGAAGGUGGCCAAAUCCAUUCUGUUAAAGAUGUGUCCCUCAAAAGCCCAAAAUAAGACAUGAGAGGUUGACUACUGCUUGGAAAACUGUAAGAUGUUACAGAGGAAUGAUUUGUAGCACCACCACCACCACCCACUCAUCCCAUGUUAAAUUCCAGGGCAAUGUUGGGAGGAUCUUAUACAGUGUGGAGUUUGUGUGUGUACCUGGCAUUAACUUUUUUUAGACCUAAAUCAGUAAUUAUUUACAUCAAUUCAACCAAUUUUCAGCAUUAAAGAGUGAUAUGAAACAAAACAAUCGCUAAAUAACUUGGGCAUUGUUUGUUUUUAGAAAAAACCUAGAGGGCCAGGUGAUUGGGGGAAAGGAACUAACACUCAGAUGUGAAUUCAUAGGGGAGAGAUUCUCAGCAAGAUUCUUAACCCAGUUAGCACAGGCUACUAACUCAGUGACAAGUGAUAAAGAUGUUAACUAGCAUUGGUCAAAGGUAAAAUUUUUG
rnacentral:lncRNA from 10 species